rnacentral:rRNA from 1 species
UACGUAGGGGGCAAGCGUUGUCCGGAAUCAUUGGGCGUAAAGCGCGCGUAGGCGGCCCGGUAAGUCCGUUGUGAAAGUCAAAGGCUCAACCUUUGAACGCCGAUGGAUACUGCCGGGCUAGAGUCCGGAAGAGGCGAGUGGAAUUCCUGGUGUAGCGGUGGAAUGCGCAGAUAUCAGGAGGAACACCAAUAGCGAAGGCAGCUCGCUGGGACGGUACUGACGCUGGAGGCGCGAAAGCGUGGGGAGCGAACAGG